rnacentral:rRNA from 1 species
UGGGGAAUCUUGCGCAAUGGUCGAGAGACUGACGCAGCGACGCCGCGUGUGGGAGGACGCCUUUCGGGGUGUAAACCACUGUUGCCCGGGACGAACUCGCUUAUUCGUAAGCGUUGACGGUACCGGGUGAGGAAGCACCGGCUAACUCCGUGCCAGCAGCCGCGGUAAUACGGAGGGUGCGAGCGUUGUCCGGAAUCAUUGGGCGUAAAGGGCGCGUAGGUGGCCCGGUCAGUCUUUGGUGAAAGCGCGGGGCUCAACCCUGCGUCGGCCAGGGAUACUGCCGCGGCUCGAGCACUGUAGAGGCAGGCGGAAUUCCGGGUGUAGCGGUGGAAUGCGUAGAGAUCCGGAAGAACACCGGUGGCGAAGGCGGCCUGCUGGGCAGUAUGGCUGACACUGAGGCGCGACAGCGUGGGGAGCAAACA